rnacentral:rRNA from 1 species
GGGUGAGUCGACCCCUAAGGCGAGGCCGAAAGGCGUAGUCGAUGGGAAACAGGUUAAUAUUCCUGUACUUGGUGUUACUGCGAAGGGGGGACGGAGAAGGCUAUGUUGGCCGGGCGACGGUUGUCCCGGUUUAAGCGUGUAGGCUGGUUUUCCAGGCAAAUCCGGAAAACCAAGGCUGAGGCGUGAUGACGAGGCACUACGGUGCUGAAGCGACAAAUGCCCUGCUUCCAGGAAAAGCCUCUAAGCAUCAGGUAACAUCAAAUCGUACCCCAAACCGACACAGGUGGUCAGGUAGAGAAUACCAAGGCGCUUGAGAGAACUCGGGUGAAGGAACUAGGCAAAAUGGUGCCGUAACUUCGGGAGAAGGCACGCUGAUAUGUAGGUGAAGCGACUUGCUCGUGGAGCUGAAAUCAGUCGAAGAUACCAGCUGGCUGCAACUGUUUAUUAAAAACACAGCACUGUGCAAACACGAAAGUGGACGUAUACGGUGUGACGCCUGCCCGGUGCCGGAAGGUUAAUUGAUGGGGUUAGCGGUAACGCGAAGCUCUUGAUCGAAGCCCCGGUAAACGGCGGCCGUAACUAUAACGGUCCUAAGGUAGCGAAAUUCCUUGUCGGGUAAGUUCCGACCUGCACGAAUGGCGUAAUGAUGGCCAGGCUGUCUCCACCCGAGACUCAGUGAAAUUGAACUCGCUGUGAAGAUGCAGUGUACCCGCGGCAAGACGGAAAGACCCCGUGAACCUUUACUAUAGCUUGACACUGAACAUUGAGCCUUGAUGUGUAGGAUAGGUGGGAGGCUUUGAAGUGUGGACGCCAGUCUGCAUGGAGCCGACCUUGAAAUACCACCCUUUAAUGUUUGAUGUUCUAACGUGGGCCCCUUACCGGGGUUGCGGACAGUGUCUGGUGGGUAGUUUGACUGGGGCGGUCUCCUCCUAAAGAGUAACGGAGGAGCACGAAGGUUGGCUAAUCCUGGUCGGACAUCAGGAGGUUAGUGCAAUGGCAUAAGCCAGCUUGACUGCGAGCGUGACGGCGCGAGCAGGUGCGAAAGCAGGUCAUAGUGAUCCGGUGGUUCUGAAUGGAAGGGCCAUCGCUCAACGGAUAAAAGGUACUCCGGGGAUAACAGGCUGAUACCGCCCAAGAGUUCAUAUCGACGGCGGUGUUUGGCACCUCGAUGUCGGCUCAUCACAUCCUGGGGCUGAAGUAGGUCCCAAGGGUAUGGCUGUUCGCCAUUUAAAGUGGUACGCGAGCUGGGUUUAGAACGUCGUGAGACAGUUCGGUCCCUAUCUGCCGUGGGCGCUGGAGAACUGAGGGGGGCUGCUCCUAGUACGAGAGGACCGGAGUGGACGCAUCACUGGUGUUCGGGUUGUCAUGCCAAUGGCACUGCCCGGUAGCUAAAUGCGGAAGAGAUAAGUGCUGAAAGCAUCUAAGCACGAAACUUGCCCCGAGAUGAGUUCUCCCUGACUCCUUGAGGGUCCUGAAGGAACGUUGAAGACGACGACGUUGAUAGGCCGGGUGUGUAAGCGCAGCGAUGCGUUGAGCUAACCGGUACUAAUGAACCGUGAGGCUUAACCUUACAACGCCGAAGAUGUUUUG